rnacentral:rRNA from 1 species
GAUGAACGCUGGCGGCGUGCCUAAUACAUGCAAGUCGAGCGAACGGACGAAAAGCUUGCUUCUCUGAUGUUAGCGGCGGACGGGUGAGUAACACGUGGAUAACCUGCCUAUAAGACUGGGAUAACUUCGGGAAACCGUAGCUAAUACCGGAUAAUAUUUUGAACCGCAUGGUUCAAAAGUGAAAGACGGUCUUGCUGUCACUUAUAGAUGGAUCCGCGCUGCAUUAGCUAGUUGGUAAGGUAACGGCUUACCAAGGCAACGAUGCAUAGCCGACCUGAGAGGGUGAUCGGCCACACUGGAACUGAGACACGGUCCAGACUCCUACGGGAGGCAGCAGUAGGGAAUCUUCCGCAAUGGGCGAAAGCCUGACGGAGCAACGCCGCGUGAGUGAUGAAGGUCUUCGGAUCGUAAAACCCUGUUAUUAGGGAAGAACAUAUGUGUAAGUAACUGUGCACAUCUUGACGGUACCUAAUCAGAAAGCCACGGCUAACUACGUG